AACAUUCCGCCGUAAACAACAUUAUUAUGUACCCAAACGUCAUUUGCACUAGACCUUGUACACGUACUAAUGUUAUCAGGUCAAAUUAUUAUGAAGAUGAUUAUGACACUGAUAAAUCAUACGCGUCCUCUAAAUAUUCUGAAACUUUUUAUAGAGAUAUUAAAUGUCAAUCUAGUCAGACUGAUUUAAUACUUAUUGACAAAUUUACCCCUUCCAUUUAUAGUUGGCAACGUAGCUCUAGCUGCAAAGAGUUUAAUUCAUCUAGGUCUUGUUCUGGAGAAACUCCUCCAGUUGAAAAUGAAGAAGUAAAUUCCUCAUUUGAUAGAAACAGUUCAGUAGAUCAUCCAAUUACAAAAAUUUUCUCAAGUAGUUAUCCGGGCACUACUUCUAGUUUAUCAACUGAAAGUGGUAGUGAUCGUAAACUUGAAAUUACUGGUAAUGUUAGGAUAUUGCCAGAUACAGAUGAUAUGUAUCAAGAUGACAUUAGUCAAGAUUCAUAUGAAUUAUUGGAAAAGGAAGUAUUUAAUAGUACUAUUAGUGAUGACGAAGAUGAAAUAUUUUAUGUUGAAAAUGAUAACAAAGAAAAUACUUUGGAAAUUGAAAAACGAUUUGGUUAUUUAGAGCCUAAAUAUAGAGAUAUAGAGUUUAAUAAGUUUAACGAAAUUUGUAAAAAAGAAUUAGCUUCCCGAAGUAAAGAACAAAUUUUUACUAAUAAUACAAUUCGAUUUAAUGCAUUUGAAAAUAAAGGUGAAACUGGUCAUGUUCCUGUGGAACGAACAAAAAGUGACUCAUAUAUGAGUGCUCCUAAACAUAAAUCUCAUAGACUACUUCAUCAAAAAUCUAUAGACCUGACACCUCUUGAUAAUUUUGAACCAAGUAUUGUUAAACUAGAUUUAGAUAUACCCUAUAUAUUACAUAAACGACACACAAUUGAGGGUUCACCUAAUGAAGAGAGUACAGUUAAAUGGUCAACAAUUAAAUGUGGUUCAGAUCAUUAUUCUCAAGACUCUGGCUUAUCAUUAUCAACACAAUCCACUGGUAACGUAAGUGUUGAAGAUGACAGUCCUGUUGAUCUAGAUGCACUUUUAUUAAAUAAAUAUCAUGAUGAUGUAGUUACAACGUCUAAAAGUUCAGAGCUUAUUCAAAUGGCAUACAAAUCAACUUCAUUUAAUGAGUCCGAAAUUAGACCAUCUUCUAGCGAAAAAAACAAUAAACUGAAGUCUUGUCAUAGUGCUGACAGUGUACCUGUGAAUAAAGGGAAGAAAAUUUGCUACCAACCUCGUAGUGCAGACAAUGGAUUAAAGAAAGAAGUGGAAGUUAUAAAAAUUGACCCUGAUGAAGUAGAGCCUAAACCUGACGAAAUAAUAAUUGUGGAAUAUAGAGGGGGGAAAGGUAAAAAAAUUAGAAGGGACUCCUUGGGUGGUAAAGAUAAUAAGAGUUUAGGAUCUGCUUCUACAUCCAUUGCUUCAAAUUCGCCUGGAAUAUCUCCGGAAAGACGUAUUUCUAAUAGCCCAAAAAAAGAUAAAUUGUUUAAGUCUUCUGCUGUGAAAGUCAAAAUUGCUUCUGCUUUAAAUUCUAAUUCUAUUCAUGUGGUUCCAAAUGUUGUGAUAAGUGAUGAUGACAAUAAUGGAAUAAAAAACAAUAAAUUAAUGGAAUACAAUACUCUUCCUGAUAUAGUGUCUAAUUCUGUAAAGAAUUCUGAUUCAAAAGUAGCUAUACAUAGUGAAACAUGGACAGUUGAAAGUAGCUGUGUAAGAAAAGAUGAAGAGCAAGUUGUUCCUGAUGGUGAUAACAGUUCUAAUGAAAUAAAAUUAAAAUUAAAAAAUGCGUUAUCCAGUAUGAUGGUUUCACAACAAACAAAAGUGCCACAAUCAAGAGAUUCUGAAUCUAAGGCUGUUAAAAUCAAUAAAUUUCAAUCUUUAGCGACAAAAAUAGCUGAUUCUGGAGGAUUAACUACUAUGAAAAAAGAUAAGUUACCUUCCGAAUUAUUGGGAAAAAUAUUGCCUGAUAAAAUAUCUCAGAAUCGAGAAAAAUCUCCUAUACUUUUUGCUAGGUUAGGUUUAUCUGAAGGUUCAGCAUUUCCAAACGUAUCUGGUCAAAACCAGUCACAAAGGCGGGCAAUAUCUUUGGAUUCACCAGUUGUUUCCCUGCAUCAACUUCCUUUAGUUACAUCAUUUUCUAGUAAAGAUGAUACAGUUGAUAAUGAAGAUGAGGUAGAGUUGGAAGAAAAACCAAUUAAAUGGUGGAAUAUUCAAGUUGACGAGACUGUUGUAGAAUGCCUUACAUAUUUAAUUAAUACUGUUGUUAAAGAAUCUAAAGAAUCUGAAGAACCUAAUAGUAUUUCAUUAUCUCCGAAUAUAACACCAGAAAGAAGACGUUCGAGUACUAGACAAGAACGUUUGGACUCAUUAAAAAAAUUAAAAAAUUUUGAAAUUGAAGUUUGGGAUUCAGAAGAAUUAAAUGUAGCAUCAGCUAUAGAUUAUGAACAUAAGGAUUUUGAAGAUGAGACAUUUAUUGUAUCUGAUAACACUUGUGCCCCUAAUACUAGUUUAUUAAUCCAAAAUAGUAAAUCUAAUAAUAAAUGUUCAACUGAUGAUGAUUGGGUGUCUGUCGAUGAUUCUGGAAGUAGUGAGGAAAUACCAUUUAAAGAACUUGACUCACAAAGUUCAGAUGAAACAAAACGUACAGCUCAAAAAACAGGUCAUAGUGUUUCAGAAAUUGUUGAGGAUACAGUAAUUGAAGCAGAGAAUUUCAUAGUAGAUAGAAAUGAUCAAAAUGAAAAAGAGCUUGAUCCUAAUUCAGAUGUAUUUAUUGAAGAAAUUGAUCAUGCUGAAUUGAUUAAUAAAUUAGGCUGCAUUGAAAUACCACCCAAGUUAGAACCUAAACGACAUCAUAAGCUUUCAUUAGAAAGUUCUGGUAGUUCAAGUCUUGAUGAUCCACCUCAUAUGGAUGAUUUGAGUGGAAAUAUUGCUGAUGAAGAAGAUGUUACGUCUAGUCCCUUACCACCAACUCCGGAUGUUACUUAUUCUGGUAUGUAUCUCAUAGGGUAUGGUAUAUAUGGAAUGUCACGUACAUUGUCUAGAAUUAGUGAACAAAGCACAUCAGAAAAAUCUGAAAUUGACGAUGAGUUAUCAACAAAAUAUUCUACUCAAUCAGCAUCAUUAGAUGAUUCAAUACUGUCUAGUGACUGUCAGCCAAGUUUAUGUUCUGAUGCAAUGGAUAGCUUACCAGAUUUGCCACCUUUACCAGAAGAAUAUGCGUUUGAUAUUCCUCCACCAGUUGAACAAUGGCCUUCACCUAAGAGUGAAGAUCUUACACCUGUAGAACAAAAACAUUUUGAUGAUGAUGAAGAUGCUAAAACAAUUCAUAAUGAAGAAUUUAUAGAAGAAACAGAAGAACCGCGUCGAGUACCAUCUACUAACAAACCUAGACUAUCAUUUGGUGACGAUACUUCAGCUGGCGUAUCUACAUCAGAAUUUUCAAGUAAUGCUACAAUACUUCACCACUAUGAUAGUGUUUGUCCACCUCCAGAAUUCUUGAAUAAAGAUUCUGAUGAAUAUGACUCACCAUUUACUGAAUCUGAUGAAUCAAAAUUCUACCGACCACCACCACAUAUGUUUGAAUUACCCAAGACUAGUAUGAAAAUUAGAAAGAAUCGUAUGGCACAUGGUCCAGCAUCACUGGAUGCACCAGGACCUAAACCAAAAACAUUAGCUACUAGAGCUCGUUGCCAUUCAUACUUCUCAUUGACUCGCAGUCCUCCUAGUGACGCUUCAUCAUCUUCACUCGAGGCACAAGAGCCACCUAACGUGCCAAAUACAAUACCUAGGGCUUCCAAAAGAAGACGUUAUACACAUACUUUAAAGAGAAAACCUAAAGUGAUACAAAUUACAAAAGUAUAGAUUAACAUUUCCAUUACAGGUCAACGUUAUAAAUAUCCAAACUUCCAUUAUAUUACAACAAAGCUAAUUUGAACCAAUGUUUUAAUGAUUAAUAAUGGCAUAUAGGGUGUAGCAUAACAAAUAUUAUUGUGUUUAAAAAAGUUAACGACAAUGAAGACUUUAUUAGAUCAUUGUCUUAGUAUUUCACAUGGUAUAUUAGUAAUUUUUCUUUAAUAUUUAUGUUUUUAUAGAUACAUACAUACAUACAUACAUAUAUACAUAUGUAUAUAUAUUCUUUUGUGGUUGUGAUAAUAAUCUUAUAAAAAUGUUGUCUUAGGGUUUUUGUUUUGUUUUAUUUUAUAAUAUUUAAAUAAUAAUUUUAUUCUGUUAAAUUGUUAUUAUUAAUUCUAAGUGAGCAGCAUAAUAUUAUAUCUUAAAACAAUUAGGUAUAUAAUAUAUUAAUGAAAACAUUUUGAAAGUUGUAAACAAUAAUAAACUGUAUUUGGUUGGGUUGAAAAAAAACAAAUAAUGUGUGUAAUUAAUAAUUAUAUUUAAUUUUAAUGGGUUUCAAAUGUGAUUAAACUGUAUUCUGGUAAUAAAUAUUAGUUUAAAGUACUUAAAACACACUUUAAAGAAUCUAUUUAAUAUUCUAUCAGAAAUUUAAUUUUUAUUUGGUGCUCAAAUAUGUUAUAUUUGAAAUAAUAAUUUAAGUUAUUUAUUUAAUCAUUAAGUUGACCUCUUAUAUUCAUAUAAAUGUUUCAUCUUGAUUGAAUAUAAUGUACAAUUUAAUUCUGAAAAAGUGAAAACUGAAUGUGUCAUCUUAUCAGUGAUCAUACAUCAUUAUUUUGUUAACCAUAUAUUUGACCAUAAAAAUAAUUAUUGACACAUUAAAAAUACAAAUAUUUAUAAAUAAUUAUUAUAAUAUUAUAAUAGACUGAUAUUGAGUAUUAUUAUGAUAAAUUACUUAUUAGAAUUUGUUUUCAAUGUAUAUAAUAUUUAGGAAAGUUAAUAUCCUUGCGAGAUUAAUUUAAUGUGACUAUACCAAAUUUUAAAAGAGAAAUAAAUGAAUUCAAAAUGUUUACUUUAGGGGUUUCAAUUUUGGUCAAAAUAAUUACAAUUCAUUCUUUUAAUUUUUAAAUUGCAAAUUUUAAGCUAAUUCUUUAACAUUAAAUCAAAUAACAAAUGGUCUUCCUUUAGUAUACAAUAUUUAACAUAAUAAUUACAUUAAAAAAAAAAAAAAGAAAUUGCUUUAAAAUAUUAGUCUUCAAAACUCAGUAUUCAUUAUUCUCUUUUAUUCUGUUGACUAUACAUUUGCUGUUAUACGUCAUUCUCUAUAUUAUUUGUAGUUAUUUCAUUUUGUUUAAUUAAAACUGACUAAUAAUUGUUAAAAGAUUCUAUAUUUUGUUGUGAUUGUUUCGUUUUAUUUUCUAUUCCUUAUUUCUUUUUUAUACACAAUUUUACAUCUAUAUAUUGCUAGAUUUCAAAAACAUUUUCAUUUUACAUAAAUGUGAAACUGCAUUUCAAUAAUUUAUACCUUGUUAUUUUUUUUUAAAUUUAUCAAUUAGGUAUUUAGAUAUAUUUUUUUUGUAAAUUUUUUAUAAAUAAUUUAUUAUACUUAUUAUACCUAGGUACUAUUUUACUAUGUACAUAAAUGACUAUAAAAAAUAUUAUAAUUAAUAAAAAGUCAAUAAAUUAAAAAACAAAAUAUGAUUUAAUAAUUUUUAAUAAUUCCCAUAUUAUACACUUUUUUUUAAUGAAUGUCACUUUAAAUCAUUCAUGUUAUGCAUAUCCGGUUUUACCCAAUGGAGUUAAGUGACAUUCCUGAAGAAGUAGAUUCACCAUUUAAGAAAAUCAAUGGAUCAGCAUUGUGUUUGUCUUCCAUGUCUGUUAAAGAAAAUGGUGUAGUGGCAAUGACAUCAUCCACCCCGAAAAACAAUGUUACUAAUGGAUCAUUA